rnacentral:lncRNA from 1 species
AGGUGAGCAGCUUUGCAACCUCAUACAUUCCCAUGAGGUUUUGCAGGCCAGUGCAGCCAAGCAAUGAGGAGAAGGAACCAUAGACUGAAUCAUCUGAAACUGCACUAAAGUUAUGGAAGUUUCAUCAAUUUUUGGACAAGUCUGAUCAUUCAAGUGUUCUUUCUUCUACUGUGUGGUAAGCCUUUAACUUCCACUCCCCUGGCAGCAGUGGGCAGCAGGCCUGCCUUCUGGUAGCAGAAAGAAGAAAUCACACCUGUCUUCCACAGUCACCCCUCCUGUACUUGAAGACGGCGGUUCUGUAAUCACCAAGUUCUCUCACCUAUAGUUUCUCCGUGGCUCACUGAAUGCAGCCAGUUGCUGUUACCAUUGCUCUCAUGACCAGGUGUCAGUUUGGCUUGGCUCCCUCUGCCCAUUUCCUAUAAUGUUACAAUGCUGGCUUUGCAUGUGUAUGGUGUAUUCUCUAUUAAUUCAGUGCCAAUGCUGUACAAACUAUGCCCAAGGCAACCCAAUCAAAGUAACAAAAUUCCCAGUAAUAAGAUUUUCACAGGUAGGGGCAAUUUGAAUAGGCAAACAACACUAUAGGAACUGACUUUUUCAGGGUACAAG